CGCAAAACCCUCACUUUCUCCACAUCUCUUCACUAGCAAACAAAAUGGCUUCUCACCAUGCUCACAUCUCCUGCCACCACCACUGCCAAAACCCUGCCCCGAUCACGGCCACCUCUACCACCAUUGCCACUUGCUGUUGCAGCUGCCAUUACAACCAUUGCUGCAUCGAAACUCACCACCCUUCUCCACCACCACCACAACAGUUAUCGAUUGACCCACUUCUCCAAGCUCUUGGCUCUCUCCUUCAGCAGCAGCAACAGCUACCCAAUCUAUACCCUUCCUGCACUAACAAACCUCACACCCAGAAAAAUCAUCUCCACAACCUACGUUUUCACCCACAAAGUCUUCAUUUUCAACAGCUGGGUGAUGACAAACAAACUCUGUCUGUUCUCGCUUCGCUUCUUCAACGAAUCAACUCUCUCGAAUCAUCUCUUCACCAUUUUUCUACUUCUUCGACUUCGAAUAAUCAUUGCCAUCCUUCGUAUUCUCUGAGAGAGGCAGCAGCCCGCAUUAUUCAAACCCAUUUCCGUGCCUUUCUU
rnacentral:misc_RNA from 1 species